rnacentral:rRNA from 1 species
AGGGAUUGCUCUAGUAACGGCGAGUGAAGCAGCAAUAGCUCAAAUUUGAAAUCUGGCGUCUUCGACGUCCGAGUUGUAAUUUGUAGAGGAUGCUUCUGAGUGGCCACCGACCUAAGUUCCUUGGAACAGGACGUCAUAGAGGGUGAGAAUCCCGUAUGCGGUCGGAAAGGCGCUCUAUACGUAGCUCCUUCGACGAGUCGAGUUGUUUGGGAAUGCAGCUCUAAAUGGGAGGUAAAUUUCUUCUAAAGCUAAAUAUUGGCCAGAGACCGAUAGCGCACAAGUAGAGUGAUCGAAAGAUGAAAAGCACUUUGGAAAGAGAGUUAAAAAGCACGUGAAAUUGUUAAAAGGGAAGGGAUUGCAACCAGACUUGCUCGCGGUGUUCCGCCGGUCUUCUGACCGGUCUACUCGCCGCGUUGCAGGCCAGCAUCGUCUGGUGCCGCUGGAUAAGACUUGAGGAAUGUAGCUCCCUCGGGAGUGUUAUAGCCUCUUGUGAUGCAGCGAGCGCCGGGCGAGGUCCGCGCUUCGGCUAGGAUGCUGGCGUAAUGGUCGUAAUCCGCCCGUCUUGAAACACGGACCAAGGAGUCUAACAUCUAUGCGAGUGUUCGGGUGUCAAACCCCCUACGCGUAAUGAAAGUGAACGGGAGGUGAGAACCCGCAAGGGUGCAUCAUCCGACCGAUCCCUGAUGUCUUCCGGAUGGAUUUUGAGUAAGAAGCAUAAGCUGUUGGGGACC